CUUGCACUGGAUACUGCUGUAGGCUUCAAGCCCUCGACUGGAUCCUUCAGGUCUCCAGACAUCUUGCCCUCUUCUACAUCUGACUCUAUCUCUGACCAUUCUCCGGAGCACCCCCGAGUGGGAGGUCCAGGUGAAGCCUCUGUGUGGAAGAAAGGCUGGCUGAAUAUCCAACAGCAGCUCCAGCUCAGUGUGAAGACAUCUACAGUACUUGGCUGAGACUACACUGCUAUGGAGGAAGAUACUAGACUGAUAAUUCAAGACCUGUUUAGAUCGAAGAUCAAAAAGGGACGCUUGAAGGUUCCAGCUUCUUUUCUAAAACAGAGGCUGAAAGAUCAAGAAAGGCUGUGAACACACAUUGAGGAGAAGAGCAAACCAAGAUAAGAAAUGAAUGUGAAGACUUAAUGGCAGCUGCAUGAAAAAUGCAUCAUAAUGUCUUCAUUUGACCAAGAUUUACUGAGUACUUACAUCAUGUUGGAUCCUCUGGAUAAAAUGGUGAAGGAGACAUACCUGGUUCCUGGCUCUACAAUGCUUACAGGCUAGUGGGAAAACGGAGAGAAAUAACUAGAUGGCGACAUGAUGGUGUGAAAGGAAAACAUUAUGUGAUGAUCCUGCUCUACGUGACAAGAAUUAACUGCUGAAUUCUGGUAACAGAAGUGCCUGGGGUAGCUGGAGAACACUGAGUAGUGGGAGAGGGGCACAAAAACAGCCUGAAGCACAGCACAGUGACUUCUGCAGCUAAAGACAAGCUGCAAACAUACUUUGGAACUUUGGAACCGUUUCACCAAGAACUUACAAAAACAUCCCAUCAGGAUAAAACAGCAGUGAUUACAUCUUAACAAGAACCAAAGAAGGCUUAAUAUUGCACUCAGCACAAAGCAGUACAGAAAGACUCAAUAAGAACCAAUGGUUGCCUACACAGAAAGUAAUCCAUCUGCUGAAAAAUGUAUUAAGUGAAGAGCCAUAAAGUGCAAGUAUUUCCUACAGGUUACCUGCUAUAUAAGGUCUCCAGUCAUUCUGUUUCAGAGAAGAUGCUGAAAUAAACACACAUUCAGUGAAAGAAUUCAAUGCAUGCAGUGAAAAAAUGUAUUCCCCGCCAUUCCACCUAAAAGUUAAUUCCUUUCGAUUAAAUGAGAUAAGAGAUAUGAUAAGAAUCUUGGACCAGGAAAAAAUACUAUAAAAAAUAUUACUGGUGGCAAAUUGCAAAAUCUAAAUAUGAUACAAUACUAUUACCUAACCCAGUGUAAAAUGUUCUGCUUUUAACAAGUAUGUUGUGGUCAUGUAAGACUCACUGCUCUUGGUAUACACUGAAGUCCUGGGGGUAGGAGAAGCAUGGCAUCCGUAACUGUUAAUUCUGGGUGGAGGAUGGGGGAGUCACAAAGCAAAACAACUGGUGCAUUUGGGGGAAAUGUAUGUGAGGGUUAACUCUGGUGAAAUUUUCAGUUAUAUCAAAAUGAAAAGUUACUAAAAAGAGUCAAUUCACCUCUCUUCUUACAUUUCCUUGGGAAGAUAUGUCAUUCUGUGGUAGUCAAGUUUCAGAGUGACCAAGAGGAUGAAUGUUUUGGAAGUUGCAGAGGUCACUAGUGUGAAGAAUUAGGCAUUCCAUCAUUAGCUCUCCACUGAUUAUGCUAGAUCUAGAACUGAUUCCGUCCUUACAGUAGAGCACUCUCUUGUUUAGUGUGGAAUUAGGCAGUUACUACGGCCAACUUCAGCUACUGCUACAGUUACUCUCUAACCAGUCUCCAUCCUUUACCCUUACCGUCAUGCUGUGUAGCUGGGAUGGUUCUAACAGAAGUCCCUUGUUCCAUAUAUUUGUGCUUUAAAGUAUAUGCUUUACAGGGCCGGGGAUUUA